rnacentral:lncRNA from 1 species
GACCAUCCGCUAGUGUAUCUCGAAAAGUUCAAAACCCAAAUAUUAGAUCUGAUUUUCCUAGAUUGAACGAGCGGAAGAAGAACUUGAGUUCUCUACGACUUGAAUUAUUUUCUAUUCUUUAUUCUCUGUUUUUCAUAAUUAUUUUCUAUUCUUUAUUCUCUGUUUUUCAUUUUGUUUUUCAUUCUUUGUUUGCGAAUUCUUAUUCCGCUAGUUUAACUAGCAGAUAGAUAUAUAAUAGUCAAUUUGGGAACAUAUUGCUGCUGCUUAAUUGGAUAUUUGGGAUAGCGGAAUAUUUGGGAUUGCCUUUGAUCUCUGCUUAAUUAGAUCUACUAUUUGCGGCUGCUUAAUUGGAUAUUUGGGAUCGAUUGCGGAAUAUUUGGUAAGGUGAUAUAGAUCUAAUAUUUGAUGUUGCUUAAUUGGAUAUUUGGGAUUGUUGCUGCUUAAUUGGAUCAACAGAUCUGAUAUUAGAAUGCCGCCUUGGAUCUCUGCUUAAUUAGAUCUACUAUUUGCUGCUUAAUUGGAUAUUUGGGAUGCAUUGCGGAAUAUUUGGUGAGGUGAUAUAGGAUCUAAUAUUUGCUGCCGCUAAAUUGAAUAUUUGGGAUUGCUGCUUAAUUGGAUCAACAGAUCUGAUAUUAGAGUGCCGCUAGUUCAACUAGCGGGUGGAGUUAAUUCUAGGGUAACUGAUGCAAUAAAUUUUUUUGACUCCCAAAACACUAAACCCUAAACCUUAAACACUAAACCUUAAACACUAAACCCUAGACCCUAAACCUUAAACUCUAUUUUUUACAUGCAUGUAUCCAAAUUAUAAAUAUAUAUUGUCUGUGCAACCUUGUUUUUUUUGUUUUGACUACUAAAACACUAAACACUAAACCCAAAACACUAAACCUUAACCUCUAAAUUUUAUUUUUUAUAUGUAUCCAAAUUACAAAUAUAUAUCGUCUGUACAACCCUGUUUUUUAUAUGUAUUCAAAUUAUAAUAAAAUCACUGAAUUCUAUAAAAAUUCUAGUUGGAAUAA